AUUUCCUGGAUAUUGGUGGUCUCUAUUAUUGCCGUGUUCAAGGUCAAAUGAAGGAUUCAGAUGUGGUCAAUUAUGUACACUGAGGUUGGAGGUGUGCACCGAAGGUGUUUGAGUAAAUUCCCGAGUUCAGGAGAUCUGAGAGAGCAAUCACGAGAUGAAGCGGUGCUCAGCUGAAGAAAACCUGGUUGGUUAUGAGGCUGCUCAACAGGACAAUGGAUCUCAGCCAGAUAUAUUCAGUAUGAGA